rnacentral:lncRNA from 1 species
UUGGUUCCCUAUUUCUUUAAUUUUUAUUAAAAAAAUUCCAACCAAUCGAUUGUAUCUCUAACAUCAAUCGAUUAGUCCCCGUUAUUUUUUCAACUUUUUCACCAUACCAAUCGAUUGGUCCUUGCAUGUCAAUCAAUUGGUCCAUUAAAUUUUUUGUUUUAUAUGUUCAGCAUGCACAUGAUUCCUUUCCAAUUUUCUCCUCUCUUUAAUUGUUCCCAUGUGAUUUCUGAUUUCCUUUACUGAUACACUCUUCAUAUUGCAUUU